rnacentral:rRNA from 1 species
AUUGAACGCUGGCGGCAUGCCUUACACAUGCAAGUCGAACGGUAACAGGGAGCUUGCUCCGCUGACGAGUGGCGAACGGGUGAGUAAUGUAUCGGAACGUACCUUUCAGUGGGGGAUAACGUAGCGAAAGUUACGCUAAUACCGCAUAUUCUGUGAGCAGGAAAGCAGGGGAUCGCAAGACCUUGCGCUGAUUGAGCGGCCGAUAUCAGAUUAGCUAGUUGGUGAGGUAAAGGCUCACCAAGGCGACGAUCUGUAGCGGGUCUGAGAGGAUGAUCCGCCACACUGGAACUGAGACACGGCCCAGACUCCUACGGGAGGCAGCAGUGGGGAAUUUUGGACAAUGGACGCAAGUCUGAUCCAGCCAUUCCGCGUGCAGGAUGAAGGCCCUCGGGUUGUAAACUGCUUUUGUACGGAACGAAACGGUCUGGGUUAAUACCCUGGGCUAAUGACGGUACCGUAAGAAUAAGCACCGGCUAACUACGUGCCAGCAG